CCGCGGCCGAGGGCCAGCAGCGACUUCAAUGCGGGGGGAUGGAGGGUAGGCCCGGCGGAGGCCGGCGACGCUGCCCCGGGGAAGCUGCGGCGGGCGCGGAGACGGGGCUGGAGGCGGCGGGGACCGGCCGCGCACAAGGAAAGGAAUGUUUAUUUCAAAGCUACAACACUGAGACUUGGAAUCUGAAAAUGACUCAUGGGUCUGGUUUGGAAAGGGGCAUGAGAUGAAAUGCCUUUGCUGAUUCUCCAGGUCCUUUUUCAUACUGUUUCUCUGAAUGAAAUACAAACUCAGCGGAACCUCAGUG